rnacentral:rRNA from 1 species
GAGAGUGGGUAGUCCGCACGAGCGCACCCUAUUUUUAGUUGCUACCAUUUAGUUGGGCACUCUAAAAAAACUGCCGGUGAUAAGCUGGAGGAAGGCGGGGAUGACGUCAAGUCCUCAUGGCCCUUACGUGUUGGGCUACACACGUGCUACAAUGGCAUUUACAGUGAGAAGCAAAGAUGCGAGUCUAAGCCAAUCCCUAAAAAAUGCCUCAGUUCGGAUUGUACUCUGCAACUCGAGUACAUGAAGCUGGAAUUACUAGUAAUCGCGGAUCAGCGCGCCGCGGUGAAUACGUUCCCGGGUCUUGUACACACCGCCCGUCACACCAUGGAAGUUGGUUACACCUUAAGGCAAAGCUUAAAACCUUUGACUACGGUACGAUCAGCGACUGGGGUGAAGUCGUAACAAGGUAGCCGUAGGGGAACCUGCGGCUGGAUCACCUCCUUUCU